rnacentral:rRNA from 1 species
AGAGUUUGAUCAUGGCUCAGAACAAACGCUGGCGGCGUGCCUAACACAUGCAAGUCGUACGAGAAAGGGUCUUCGGACCUGAGUAAAGUGGCGCACGGGUGAGUAACGCGUGGAUAAUCUGCCCCUCAGUUGGGAAUAACUCACCGAAAGGUGGGAUAAUACCGAAUAAUGCUGCAUGACUUCGGUCUUGUAGCCAAAGAUGGCCUCUGCUUGCAAGCUAUCGCUGAAGGAUGAGUCCGCGUACCAUUAGCUAGUUGGUAGGGUAAUGGCCUACCAAGGCUACGAUGGUUAGCUGGUCUGAGAGGAUGAUCAGCCACACUGGAACUGAGAUACGGUCCAGACUCCUACGGGAGGCAGCAGUGAGGAAUCUUGCGCAAUGGGGGCAACCCUGACGCAGCAACGCCGCGUGAGUGAAGAAGGCCUUCGGGUCGUAAAGCUCUGUCGGGUGGGAAGAAACGUAUGAAGGUGAAUAUCCUUCAUGCUUGACGGUACCGCCAAAGGAAGCACCGACUAACUCCGUGCCAGCAGCCGCGGUAAUACGGGGGGUGCAAGCGUUGUUCGGAAUUAUUGGGCGUAAAGAGCGUGUAGGCGGCAAGAUAAGUCUGAUGUGAAAGCCCUGGGCUCAACUCAGGAAGUGCAUUUGAUACUGUCUCGCUUGAGUACUGGAGAGGGAAGAGGAAUUCCUGGUGUAGAGGUGAAAUUCGUAGAUAUCAGGAGGAACACCGGUGGCGAAGGCGACUUCCUGGCCAGAUACUGACGCUGAGACGCGAGAGCGUGGGGAGCAAACAGGAUUAGAUACCCUGGUAGUCCACGCCGUAAACGAUGUUC